ensembl:lncRNA
GUCCACGAAGCUCGCUGGUUGCUCCAGAAUGGGUGGGUAGGAGAGAAAAGGCCCUUCCCACAAGGGUGGAGGAAUCCCAGAGCCGCUGAGCUGGGAGAUCUCAGUGCUCACGGGUCUGAUGCGCACAUUGCAGAGUCUGGGAGAACAAAGGCCAGAGAGACGGGGAGGCCGGGCCACGCCUGCCCCGAGCGAGGGUAGGGCAGUGCUGGCCUUUGAGUCCAGGUCUCUUGAUCUGCAAUUCUAGGGCCCUUCUCAUUAUUUCAUCUUUGUCCCUGAACUUGACAAGUAGGUGUCUGUGUAAGGGGAACUUGUCUCUGGGCUUCAGAGAGCCCAGAGCUUAAUUCCUGGCUCCUUGUGACUCCCUCUGCCUCUGCGGAGGAAAAUGUCUCCUUUUCCACUACUUACAAGAGGUGGGCUCUGUGAGAGGCCUCCAAUCUGCCAGCUGCCGACACUUCGCAGAAUGAAAUCAUCCUGCUGAAUUGAUAAAUUCCGGAACUACUUCCAUCUGAGGCCUGGCCGGUCCCCACCUGCUGCACUUGACUGAGGAGGGUUCUGCUCCAGUUCACCUCUCUCAGCUGACGUGGGUGUUCAGCUGAGACGAAUGGGCUAUAUUGCCAUGAAAUUUCCCCAGAAUUUGUGCCAUGCCGCCCCCCAGCCUGCCAGACCACACAGGGGCCUCAGGAUCUGCCUGAACAUCUCAUCGAGGCUCGGUCUGCCUAGAAGACACUUUGGGAAAAAGCGAUUGCUUCUAAAAUCGUUCGCAGUAAAGUGCCUCUGAUUUAUUUUGCUUGAGGAAAGAAAGAAAUGAUCCUGGCCUAUGGCUUUGAGCAGGAAGGUGAUGGGGAGACGGGAGCAGUGGUUCUCAGCAGGCUAUGCAGUAGAAUCACCUGGUGACCCCAUUCCGAUUUAAUCGAUUUGAGGGCCCAGGCAUGGGUAUUUUUCACAGUGCCUUAAAUAGCUUUCCUAAACAGCUCGGGCUGAGAACAGGAUCGGAGGGAAAGGGGGAAAGAGCCUUGAAGUCAGCGGAUGGGAUUCCUUAUGUUUGCUAAGUCAAGAAACUUUCUAGAGAGGGGAAGGACUUGACCGAUGUUCUGUAUAUUGUUGGCAAAUUAAAUUCAAGUUUCAGCUGAGCAAAAAUCUGUGCGUCACCUAGUCUGUGCUGGGUGAGCAGGAAACCAGGAUGUGAGGGGUGGUUUCUCCCAGCCACUCACCCAGCUGUCACAGGAAGCAGAAGAGGGGAAGGGCCAAUCCCAACAGAGAAGUUUGGGGAGGCGGCGCCCAGCUCCCACCAUGGUCCCCUCCACCAUCUCCUCCCGCAUAAUGCUGCAAACCUGAAGGUUGAGUGGCGGUCUCCUUUGAACAGCCUCUCCUUUGAGAGCGAGGAUGGUAUGUAGUUGAUCACAUGGGCUCUGGAAGCAAGCUGCCCAGUUUUAACUCUAGCUCCGGUGCUUCCUAGCUGUGUGACCCAGGGCACAUUUCAUAACCUCUCUGAACUUCAGUUCCCUCAUCUGUAAAAUAGGGAUAAUGAGAGAGUAUGCUCCACAGGGUGGGGAGGGCGAAACAAGUUAGCACGUGCAUAUAAAGUGCUUAAUCCAGUGUCUGGUACCUAAUGUGCUCUCAUUAAAUGUUAGUGGCUGUUAUUAGGCUGGCAGGCUCAACACUCUGCCUCCUGGUUGGAAGGGAAGUUUCUCUGCAAAGCAACUCUGUCCUGCUGAUGCAUAAGCAGUCUUUAAUGCCAGGGCCGCCACCGACCCCCUUGGCUGCCUAUGUACCGUACCCCCAACCGCCUGCUCUCAGAUGCCCCUGGGCCUAGCUCAUCGAGAGCCUGCUCCCGCUACCAUCUGUGCUCAGCUCCCCCUGCAAGCGGAUCCCACCUGUGCCUGGUUCCUGUCUGAGUGCUGGUCCUGCUCUGCCCGCAGACUCACUUGUCACCACCUUAAGUCUGUGUUCUGAAGCACGCUCUUCUGAAUAAUCCAGGGCUGGUGUGUGCGGGGUGACCCGACUUCAGCAGGAAAGAGGCAGAGGCCUCAUGGACUCCCUGUGCCUGAAGAGGGAGGGGCGUGGGUGAGCUGGGAUGCUGCUGGAGUCACUCAGUCAAGGGAACUGCAGUGAGCGACUCGCAGCGAUGGGUGAGGCGUGGCCUCUGAAAAGCAGCAAAGAAAACCACUACAGAGGCCGUGAGAAGCCAGUCCAGGUGUCGGUCAGUGGAGUGACAUCCUUGAGCUGCAAUUUCGGGAAGUCAUCUGGUCACCUGUGCAAGGAUUACGUUUUAAAGGAUGGAAACUGGAUCUUAAAUCAAGUUACAUGUGUGUACGAUGCAGCCACACCAUCUCGAAUCCUGGCGACUAGACAGCCAUGGCAGAGGACACUUAGUGCUUUGUUGGUCGGCCUAGAGUAUACCCUCUCUUCCUGAAUCUGCUCUUUCUCCUCCGACCGUGUGUACAGAAUGCAAAUGACAACAGAUUCUUUGUAGCUCCUCCAAUCAAGAAGUGAAGUCUGCUUCCCUACUCCUUAAACUUGGACUUGACUUGUGACUUGCUUUGACCAAGAGAAUGUGGCAGGAGUGACGUUACGUGGGUUCCAAAUCUAGGCUUCAAGAAACCUUGUAGCAUCUCUUCUUGCUACCCUGGAAUUCUGCUGUCAUGUGAAUCAUAGCCUGGCGAGGCCGUGUGGGGGAGACUGAGACACCCUGGCUGACAGCAUGCUUGCACGUAUGUGAGGCCAUCCUAGACCAUCCAGGCCCAGCCAAGCUGUCAGCUAACUGGUGCUGCGUGAGUCCAGAUGAGCCCAAACUGUUGACGCACAGAAUUGUGAACAAAUAAACUUUGUUUCAAGCUGCUAAGUUUUGGAAUGAUUUGUUAGCUGUUGCAGAGGUGGCUGUUUUAAAAAAAUGUGUGCUCCUCUUCCAUAUUGUGGGCUUGUUGGUUGGAGGUGGCUAUUCAGCAAGGGAUGACCUUUCCCAACUCCCUCUGCACUUGGAUAUGGCCAUGUAACUGGCUCUCGCCAAUGGAGCACAGAUGGAAAUGAUGCAUGACACCCCUGGGCUGAGGCUGUAGAAGUUGACGGGCUUCUUCUCUCUCUUUCCCCUUCUGACGGCU